GACGAACCGAGCGAACGUUGUUCGGAAUCACUGGGCAUAAAGGGCGCGUAGGCGGGUCGUCAAGUCAGGGGUGAAAUCCUCCAGCUUAACUGGAGAACUGCCUUUGAUACUGACGGUCUUGAGUGAGGUAGGGGCGUGCGGAACUGAUGGUGGAGCGGUGAAAUGUGUUGAUAUCAUCAGGAACUCCGGUGGCGAAAGCGGCACGCUGGACCUUUACUGACGCUGAGGCGCGAAAGCCAGGGGAGCGAACGGG
rnacentral:rRNA from 1 species